UACGAAGGGGGCUAGCGUUGCUCGGAAUUACUGGGCGUAAAGGGUGCGUAGGCGGGUCUUUAAGUCAGAGGGGAAAUCCUGGAGCUCAACUCCAGAACUGCCUUUGAUACUGAGGAUCUUGAGUUCGGGAGAGGUGAGUGGAACUGCGAGUGUAGAGGUGAAAUUCGUAGAUAUUCGCAAGAACACCAGUGGCGAAGGCGGCUCACUGGCCCGAUACUGACGCUCAUGUGCGAAAGCGUGGGGAGCAAACAGG
rnacentral:rRNA from 1 species